GCGCGCCAAUACGUGAAAGGUGCCCUUCUGCUUGUCGGCCGAAGGGUGAAACGGGAAGCCGGUGACGCGCGGGAUUUUCAUCUCGCACCAUUCCGGCGCAGUCCCCGCUGCUGUAAGCCUGACGACUCUGAUCAACCGCCACUGUCCAACGCACGGGAAGGCACGAUCAGGGAAGAAUGAAGGCAAGCCAGAAGACCGGCCAGUCACGAUGAUUAAGC
rnacentral:ncRNA from 2 species